rnacentral:lncRNA from 1 species
AAAGGGAACGAACUUUGUUUCGUUUCCGGGGUUAUGGAUUGGAUUCAGUCAGCGUCACGACAUAAUCGAAAGGAAGGAGUGACGCUUUGGUUACCGGUGAACGCUUCCAAAGUCGACCCUCUCAAGUUUCCGGCUGUUUCCUAGAUUGAAGUAGCCUUUUGUCGCCCUAGAAAAUGAAAGAAGUCACUAUCAAACAGCUCGCCCUACUGAAGUACCAAAGGUGCGCUUCGCCCGGUGACUAAGAAAGAAAUGGGUUUGCGCUUAAAUUGAAGUGAUGAGGUCGCAAAGAGGGAAGUAGGUCUCCUAUUGACUAAAGGUUGGUUUUUUAGGUUUCCUUUAGAAUGAAAUUAGCUAAGAAUCCCCUACUACUUACUUUGUUUGAUUCAAAAGGCGAACAGCCCCCCCGACUAGUCAUAUGGGGUGGGGCUUGUAGUAAGCUGCCUUGGAUAUGAGGAAUUGCUAAAAAAAAGAGGCAAAGUCCGGUAUUUGACGAAGAUCUUCCUAUCAAUAGAUAGGAAUUAGUGUUCGAUAUAGGUGCUAUUGAGCAUCUGCUCUUUCUCUCUCCUUUUUUUUAGAGAAAAAAAGAUAUCUCGUUCA